CACAAUAGUAAUAAUGGUUACAAUUGACUACCUUGUAGGAGUUCCAUCUCCUAAACUUCAUGUUCCUGAAAAAUUUGAGCCUACUCAUCCAGAGAGAGGGUGGAUCAUAAGCCCACUGGGAGAUAAUCCUUGGUGGACCUUAUUAAUAGCUGCUAUUCCUGCUUUGCUUUGUACCAUUCUCAUCUUUAUGGAUCAACAAAUCACAGCUGUAAUUAUAAACAGAAAGGAACACAAAUUGAAGAAAGGAGCUGGCUAUCACCUUGAUUUGCUCAUGGUUGGCGUUAUGUUGGGAGUUUGCUCUGUCAUGGGACUUCCAUGGUUUGUGGCUGCAACAGUGUUGUCAAUAAGUCAUGUCAACAGCUUAAAAGUUGAAUCUGAAUGUUCUGCUCCAGGGGAACAACCCAAGUUUUUGGGAAUUCGUGAACAGCGGGUUACAGGGCUAAUGAUUUUUAUUCUAAUGGGCCUCUCUGUGUUCAUGACUUCAGUCCUAAAGUUUAUUCCAAUGCCUGUUCUGUAUGGUGUUUUCCUUUAUAUGGGAGUUUCCUCAUUAAAAGGAAUCCAGUUAUUUGACCGUAUAAAAUUAUUUGGAAUGCCUGCUAAGCAUCAGCCUGAUUUGAUAUACCUCCGUUAUGUGCCGCUCUGGAAGGUCCAUAUUUUCACAGUCAUUCAGCUUACUUGUUUGGUCCUUUUAUGGGUGAUAAAAGUUUCAGCUGCUGCAGUGGUUUUUCCCAUGAUGGUUCUUGCAUUAGUGUUUGUGCGCAAACUCAUGGACCUGUGUUUCACGAAGAGAGAACUUAGUUGGCUUGAUGAUCUUAUGCC
rnacentral:lncRNA from 1 species